CAUAGGUUAAUGAGGCGAACCGGGGGAACUGAAACAUCUAAGUACCCCGAGGAAAAGAAAUCAACCGAGAUUCCCCCAGUAGCGGCGAGCGAACGGGGAGCAGCCCAGAGCCUGAAUCAGUGUGUGUGUUAGUGGAAGCGUCUGGAAAGGCGCGCGAUACAGGGUGACAGCCCCGUACACAAAAAUGCACAUACUGUGAGCUCGAUGAGUAGGGCGGGACACGUGGUAUCCUGUCUGAAUAUGGGGGGACCAUCCUCCAAGGCUAAAUACUCCUGACUGACCGAUAGUGAACCAGUACCGUGAGGGAAAGGCGAAAAGAACCCCGGCGAGGGGAGUGAAAAAGAACCUGAAACCGUGUACGUACAAGCAGUGGGAGCACGCUUAGGCGUGUGACUGCGUACCUUUUGUAUAAUGGGUCAGCGACUUAUAUUCUGUAGCAAGGUUAACCGAAUAGGGGAGCCGAAGGGAAACCGAGUCUUAACUGGGCGUUAAGUUGCAGGGUAUAGACCCGAAACCCGGUGAUCUAGCCAUGGGCAGGUUGAAGGUUGGGUAACACUAACUGGAGGACCGAACCGACUAAUGUUGAAAAAUUAGCGGAUGACUUGUGGCUGGGGGUGAAAGGCCAAUCAAACCGGGAGAUAGCUGGUUCUCCCCGAAAGCUAUUUAGGUAGCGCCUCGUGAAUUCAUCUCCGGGGGUAGAGCACUGUUUCGGCAAGGGGGUCAUCCCGACUUACCAACCCGAUGCAAACUGCGAAUACCGGAGAAUGUUAUCACGGGAGACACACGGCGGGUGCUAACGUCCGUCGUGAAGAGGGAAACAACCCAGACCGCCAGCUAAGGUCCCAAAGUCAUGGUUAAGUGGGAAACGAUGUGGGAAGGCCCAGACAGCCAGGAUGUUGGCUUAGAAGCAGCCAUCAUUUAAAGAAAGCGUAAUAGCUCACUGGUCGAGUCGGCCUGCGCGGAAGAUGUAACGGGGCUAAACCAUGCACCGAAGCUGCGGCAGCGACGCUGAUGCGUUGUUGGGUAGGGGAGCGUUCUGUAAGCCUGUGAAGGUGUGCUGUGAGGCAUGCUGGAGGUAUCAGAAGUGCGAAUGCUGACAUAAGUAACGAUAAAGCGGGUGAAAAGCCCGCUCGCCGGAAGACCAAGGGUUCCUGUCCAACGUUAAUCGGGGCAGGGUGAGUCGACCCCUAAGGCGAGGCCGAAAGGCGUAGUCGAUGGGAAACAGGUUAAUAUUCCUGUACUUGGUGUUACUGCGAAGGGGGGACGGAGAAGGCUAUGUUGGCCGGGCGACGGUUGUCCCGGUUUAAGCGUGUAGGCUGGUUUUCCAGGCAAAUCCGGAAAACUAAGGCUGAGGCGUGAUGACGAGGCACUACGGUGCUGAAGCAACAAAUGCCCUGCUUCCAGGAAAAGCCUCUAAGCAUCAGGUAACAUCAAAUCGUACCCCAAACCGACACAGGUGGUCAGGUAGAGAAUACCAAGGCGCUUGAGAGAACUCGGGUGAAGGAACUAGGCAAAAUGGUGCCGUAACUUCGGGAGAAGGCACGCUGAUAUGUAGGUGAAGCGACUUGCUC
rnacentral:rRNA from 1 species